AGCGAACGCUGGCGGCAGGCUUAACACAUGCAAGUCGAACGGGCUUCUUCGGAAGUCAGUGGCAGACGGGUGAGUAACACGUGGGAACGUGCCCUUCGGUUCGGAAUAACUCAGGGAAACUUGAGCUAAUACCGGAUACGCCCUUUUGGGGAAAGGUUUACUGCCGAAGGAUCGGCCCGCGUCUGAUUAGCUUGUUGGUGGGGUAACGGCCUACCAAGGCGACGAUCAGUAGCUGGUCUGAGAGGAUGAUCAGCCACACUGGGACUGAGACACGGCCCAGACUCCUACGGGAAGCAGCAGUGGGGAAUAUUGGACAAUGGGCGCAAGCCUGAUCCAGCCAUGCCGCGUGAAUGAUGAAGGCCUUAGGGUUGUAAAGCUCUUUUGUCCGGGACGAUAAUGACGGUACCGGAAGAAUAAGCCCCGGCUAACUUCGUG
rnacentral:rRNA from 1 species